rnacentral:misc_RNA from 1 species
GUAGGUGAACCUGCGGAAGGAUCAUUAAAAAUGAAGCCGGGAAACCGGUCCUUCUAACCCUUGAUUAUCUCAAUUUGUUGCUUUGGUGGGCCGCGCAAGCACCGGCUUCGGCUGGAUCGUGCCCGCCAGAGGACCCAAAACCCUGAAUAUUAGUGUCGUCUGAGUAAAAAGUUUAAUAUUUAAAACUUUCAACAACGGAUCUCUUGGCUCUG